AUGUUCCUUCUUCUGGUGCUUCUCACUGGACUUGGUGGGAUGCAUGCAGACCUCAAUCAAUUUUAUCUUCAGCUUCUGUUAUUAAUUCUUAUGACGAAAAUGACAUCCGUCAUUCCAAACCUCUGCUAGUUCAGAUGGAUUGCAAUUAUAAUGGAUAUGUUGUGGGUAUUCCAAAUUCUCUUGUGACUCUCAGCAUAUGUUCAGGACUCAGGGGAACAAUGCAGCUGAAAAACAUCUCAUAUGGAAUUGAACCGAUAGAGGCUGUAUCAGGAUUUAUAC
rnacentral:sRNA from 1 species